AUUUGUAGUUCUAAAUGCCCUAAAAGUACCAGAUCCCAUCUGAUGUUGGAUGCCAACCAAAGUCAAGCCUGGUUAAUCCUUGUAUGGGAGACCACCAAUGAAUACCAGAUGCUGUAGGCU
rnacentral:rRNA from 11 species